rnacentral:rRNA from 1 species
GACGAACGCUGGCGGCGUGCUUAACACAUGCAAGUCGAGCGGUAAGGCCCUUUCGGGGGUACGACGAGCGGCGAACGGGUGAGUAACACGUGGGUGACCUGCCCUUAGCUCUGGGAUAAGCCUGGGAAACUGGGUCUAAUACCGGAUAUGACUCCAUGACGCAUGUUGUGGGGUGGAAAGCCUUGUGCGGCUAGGGAUGGGCCCGCGGCCUAUCAGCUUGUUGGUGGGGUGAUGGCCUACCAAGGCGACGACGGGUAGCCGGCCUGAGAGGGCGACCGGCCACACUGGGACUGAGACACGGCCCAGACUCCUACGGGAGGGCAGCAGUGGGGAAUCUUGCGCAAUGGGCGAAAGCCUGACGCAGCGACGCCGCGUGAGGGAUGACGGCCU